GUCAGACACUUCACUCAUCUUGACAUUUGCAGAAGGCUUCAAAGGAAUCCAUUUUUGUGGGACAAUGCCCCUUCAGAGGAUCUUCAGAGUAAGAACUUAAGAGUGAUGAAUCAUAGAAGAAACAGUAACACUAUUUUAGCUCUAGUGAAACCUUCUGUUCACUUAUAAGCCAAGAAGAUAAAGAGGACUGAAUUUCAAAAAUAAGAUAUCUCCUCAAAUGGCGUCACCAACCUCUGUUGGUGAACUAUCUUUCCCAGCUACUCAGGAAGCUAAGGUGGGAGGAUCACUUGAGCCUAGGAGUUCAAGACCAGACUAGGUAACAUAACGAACCUCAACUCUAAACAACAAAAAAGGGACAUGGAUUAAUCUGGAAACCACAAUUCUCAGCAAACUGACACAAGAACGGAAAAUAAAACACUGCAUGUUC
rnacentral:lncRNA from 1 species